ACUGGCAUAAUGGAGCAACAAGCCAAACAUUAUUCUUCAUCACGGAAGACACAAAUCUCAUCAGAAAAUAACGAUGGCCGGAGUUUGAACCCUUUCGGACAGAUCUGACACAUUGAUAAUAAAUAAAGUAAAAAUAACAAAAGAGAAAAACACAAAGAAGUACCAUUUGCCAGAGUUGGAACAUGGAUCGUUGGUUGUUUAGUCUCUGAGCUCCGUCGGAGUUUGAGGUUGUCUGGUUUCGCCGGAGAUUGCAGUUGCUAGUGAGUUUGCUGGAGUUCCUGUCUUGCUGUUCAGCUGCUGGGCUCAUGUAUUAUCGGAGCUCGUUGUUCAAUGAAGCUAAGGCUUGCCGGAAACAAUGGAGAAAGGGGAGAGUAGCGUGGUGGCUUGGGAUGGAGGUCUGGUGGUUUUCAGGUGCGUUUGCGUCGAUUCUUGGGGGCUGCUGGUCGUUGUUUUCGUUGGUCAGUGAGAACAAGUGGGGUCUAAUUUCUGGUGUGGUUUUCUGACCGUUUUGGUUUGCUAACCUGGUGGUGAUUUACUGGUUUUUGGUGGUUGUUGUAGCAGCGGAAAAGAGGGAAAAAUGGGGGUUUGAGGUGUGUUUUGUGAGGGCAACAUUGGUGGAGGUUGUUUGGGUUGCCGGUGGCGAUUUGGAGUUGGGUUGCCGGAAAAUAGAGGGAAAAUGAGGGAAAAAGGAGGGAAAAAAAAACAAAGGGAUUUUGGUGGUGAAUUCGCCAGAUUUCGGCGAAACUCCGAUGAGCUUGUCAUCGAAAAAUUAUCAACACUAAAGACUCAAAAAUCUAAAAAUUAUCUCUAAAAUUUUAUUCACCACCUCUUGACUUAAUGACUAAGUUAUUGUUUAAAUAGGAAAUUAAAAAUCAUCCAUAGUACAAUAUCAUUAUCUUAAAAU
rnacentral:lncRNA from 1 species